ensembl:lncRNA
GGAUCGUGAGCUUGGGAGGAGGCUUGAAAGGGUGACUGGCUUCAUAGCUCCAGGUUCCAGGGGCUGCCAGGAAGCAAGAGGGCUCCCCGAACACGCCAGUUACCUUGUAUCAGCGCCUCCCUUGGAUUCGUGUUCUCAAAACCUUAUCACAGUUUGAAACUGUGGAAAAUCAAUUACGUGCUUUGAAUUACUCCCUGCCCUGGCACCAAAGUGUUUCUUCAUUCUUUCCGGACAGUGAACACUUUGCAACAUCUACCAACGAACAGUCUGUUAGGAUUCUCUGCUAAAUGGAUGUCAGACAAAUAAACGGAACAGAAGGCUGGUGGAAUGCUAAACAUCCCUGCUCCCCUCUGCUGUGGCCGCCGUGCAGCUUGGGACCUUUCUGACUUGCUGCUCAACAUCUGGACGGCAUUCGCGUUGCUUCUCAAGGACACAGGCAUGCAC